CCGAGGCUGACGGCUGGAGGUCCGGCCGUCGCGGUGAGCUGUGGCUGGGAAUCCGGAAGGGGGUUUCGGGGCAGUUCGCCCGGCAGGAGGCAGAGAAGAAGGGGCUGCUCCUGAGGUCCUGCGUCCUGCUGUUCCCACGCACCUUAUCGUGAGGGUCACCCUAGGGUCCCUGUCACCCAACCCCAGGACCUCGCCCCUCUGCUGAAGGGUCCAGGACCCCAGUACUCGGCGGCCGCGGCCUCUCCUACGCCCUUGGUGGUCUGUACAUUUUACUUAUGAAAUCAGACUACUCGGGUCUAACUCCAGUCCAAGUGCUCGUUGUGCGAUUCGGCGGCUUCCAGUCUCAGACUCCGUCAUCCUGGUCUGCAGGACUUUCUGAGAUCCUGAGUUUCGGUCCCGGCUCCUGCCUUUGGAGGAGACUCAGCUCCGGCUCCGCCAGGGCCCGUACAGGUGGUCUGCGACCCCGCGCCCACGACCAAGUCUUCCGAGUGCUCGGCCUGCCUUCAGGUCCCCCCGCGGACCGGAACGUCGGGACCUCUCCAUCCACAAAGCCAGCGUCCUGAAGAUCACUCUGGGAAAAGGGAAGGAUGCCGCUCUUCUUCCGGAAGCGAAAACCCAGCGAGGAGUCUCAGAAACGCCUCGAGUACCAGAUGUGUCUGGCAAAAGAGGCCGGUGCAGAUGACAUUCUUGACAUCUCUAAAUGUGAGCUCUCCGAGAUUCCAUUUGGGGCUUUUGCAACAUGCAAAGUUCUACAGAAAAAGGUGUUGAUUGUCCAUACGAAUCACCUCACUUCCCUGCUUCCUAAAUCCUGCAGCCUCGUGAGUCUUGCGACCAUCAAGCUUUGAACAGUUCUCCUGCAGGUCUUCUUAUAAGCACGGACAACAGUGUUUCACAGGACCUUGAUAUCAUAGAUUUUAUGGAAGUUUGGCUCCAACCUCCUUGCGGACCUUGCACGCUGUGGGGAGAGCUCCCCUCCUUGUCUUUUGCACAAACAGUUCACCGUGGUGAAGCCAAGCCGAAGCUGCCCAGUUCCUCUUGAGCAGGAGGCGAGGCAACAGCAUAAGAAAACAUGCUUUUCAGGAGGUCCUCCGGCCUUACUGAGCUUUCUGUCUCUCCUCUGCCUUCUGUACCUGCAGUGCCCUUUUCACCUUGUUCUAUGUCCCUGAAACAAAAGGAAGGACUUUGGAACAAAUCACAGCCCAUUUUGAGGGGCAAUGAUAUCCCUUUUCUGUGAGUGGCUGUCGCUACUAGCUGGACCAGCUUUGGACUUCAGGGGAAAUGGAGCAAGUCUGUGACUCUGAGCUGAGCCUGAGGCCGGGACCCCUGACAGUUCAGGGCCCUAGGGAAGUCACGAUCCAGGAGCACAGCCACUGGGAACCUUGGCCUCCUGGUCCCUCUUUCCUGUCCAGCUCACAGCAGCCUAUACCCAGAGCUGUCAGGUUCACCAGCCACCAGGUCCAGUUCCUGCUGCUGCUGUGGGGACUCAGGACUAUCUGGGAGGAGCCCUGUGGUCAUCCCUCCACAUGCCGCCUCCUUCAUGACACAAAGCAGCAGUGGUUGGGGGUCACUUCUUGGCUCCUCAUUUCCUGGCUGGAGAUGCUUUUGGAGGCUGGGUGCUGGGCACCUGGUUGCUGCUCUCCAGUGGCUGCAUUAUCAGGAAGGAACUUUGUCAAAUAAAGAUUUGACUCAGAAAAUCAGGUCACGACCUCUCUGUGUGAGUCCAGUUUGAGAAGGGUGUAUUCCGUCCUGUAAACUAGGCCUCUUGGGCCUGCCCAGAACAUCCUAUGCAUUUACUUCCUCGUGCUCAGCCAAGCUUACUCUUGGCAUGUGGAGGUCAUUUCUACCUCUUCCUUGGGCUCAGGUCCCUGAAUCAUUAGCCAUUAAAUCUUGUUGGGUUUCAAAAAAACACAAAAGCCCUCUUUUUCUGUUGACUUUAAUG